rnacentral:rRNA from 1 species
UUUCCCGUAGGUGAACCUGCGGAAGGAUCAUUG